GACGAGCAAUGAUUUCACCAUCUACUACCUGGAGUGGUCGGGACCUUUUUUUAGACGAACAAUGAUUUUCGUGGCGCGCAACAUGUUAGUGGGAAGUAAAUAAUAAACUAGACAUGUGAUGAAAUUAUUGGUUUGAAAUAACUAUAUAUUAAAUUUUAUGAAAUAAGUAAAUAUAAUUCCAUUUAAAUCUUCCCAAAUGAAAACCCCAAAAACAAAAACCCAAAUUUCAAUAAACUGUUUCCAAAAAUAAAACAAAUUAAAACCCAAAAAAAACCCAGAGCAGCUCGCACCCGCCAUGGCGCCAUUUCCUCUAAAAAAUGGCGCCAAAAAAAUUCGGCCGCCAAAAAAUUUCCCAUCCUCAGUCCACCUCCCCAUCUAUCUCCACCUCUCUCGCCCCAUUUCCCAUCUCCUCUUCCACUUCAGACGCCCCAUUCCCCUCUAUCGCCCCACACAAACCUAGCCGCCGCCUCCGCCGGGGACCAAGGAACCAGGCGCACAAACUCCGACGCCAACGACGACAUUCGCCGCCUUGCCCUGUCUCUCGUCCACCUCCCUCUCUCUGUCUCGACCCCACGAAACCCUAGACGCCGUGCUUGGAUCUCCACCAACGACUUCCAACGCCGACGUGAUCUGCUCUCCAAGAUUCUGCUGAUCUCCAACGACGACGACGAUGGUGCAGACAAGGGGACAAGGUAGGAAAGCACCGACAACUGAAGGUAAGCAAAAUUUCUCCAAGAACUCUGUACUGGUUCCAUUUUCAUG
rnacentral:lncRNA from 1 species